AGAGUUUGAUCAUGGCUCAGAGCGAACGCUGGCGGCAGGCUUAACACAUGCAAGUCGAGCGGGCGUAGCAAUACGUCAGCGGCAGACGGGUGAGUAACGCGUGGGAACGUACCUUUUGGUUCGGAACAACCCAGGGAAACUUGGGCUAAUACCGGAUAAGCCCUUACGGGGAAAGAUUUAUCGCCGAAAGAUCGGCCCGCGUCUGAUUAGCUAGUUGGUGAGGUAACGGCUCACCAAGGCGACGAUCAGUAGCUGGUCUGAGAGGAUGAUCAGCCACAUUGGGACUGAGACACGGCCCAAACUCCUACGGGAGGCAGCAGUGGGGAAUAUUGGACAAUGGGCGCAAGCCUGAUCCAGCCAUGCCGCGUGAGUGAUGAAGGCCCUAGGGUUGUAAAGCUCUUUUGUGCGGGAAGAUAAUGACGGUACCGCAAGAAUAAGCCCCGGCUAACUUCGUGCCAGCAGCCGCGGUAAUACGAAGGGGGCUAGCGUUGCUCGGAAUCACUGGGCGUAAAGGGUGCGUAGGCGGGUCUUUAAGUCAGGGGUGAAAUCCCGGGGCUCAACCUCGGAAUUGCCUUUGAUACUGUCUAUCUUCGAGUUCGGGAGAGGUUGGCGGAAUUCCUAGUGUAGAGGUGAAAUUCGUAGAUAUUAGGAAGAACACCAGUGGCGAAGGCGGCCAACUGGCCCGAUACUGACGCUCAUGUACGAAAGCGUGGGGAGCAAACAGGAUUAGAUACCCUAGUAGUCC
rnacentral:rRNA from 1 species